rnacentral:rRNA from 1 species
GAUUAACGCUGGCGGCAUGCCUAAUACAUGCAAGUCGAACGGAAGCAGCAAUGCUUUAGUGGCGAACGGGUGAGUAACACGUAGGGAACCUACCUAUACGACGAGGAUAACUACUGGAAACGGUAGCUAAAACUGGAUAGGAUCAAUUGAGGCAUCUUGAUUGAUUUAAAGAUCCUUCGGGAUUACGUAGAGAUGGCCCUGCGGCGCAUUAGCUAGUUGGUGAGGUAACGGCCCACCAAGGCGACGAUGCGUAGCUGAGCUGAGAGGCUAAACAGCCACACUGGGACUGAGACACGGUCCAGACUCCUACGGGAGGCAGCAGUAGGGAAUUUUCGGCAAUGGGGGAAACCCUGACCGAGCAACGCCGCGUGAGUGACGAAGGCCU